CUCUUCUCAAAAACCCUCCAUCACUCCCUUACCGCCUCAUUGGUUCAUUCAUGUUCACAGCCAUUUCCGAUUUCCAUUUUUCCAAGUCAAUUCAUGCCGACAUAAUUAUCCCCAGCGCUGCACUUCUCCCAGAUCCAUAAUUUUCUUUUACCUCCAAUAAGAGAGCUCGUACUUCAAGAAGGUUCCAGCGGGAGAAUCCAAACAUUUGAAGAGCAUGAGAUACAAUUUCGACUUGUCGGAGCCCUGUGACGGCGACGACCACGACAGUGGCUGUCAAUCAGCAACGCCACCUUCAGCUUCAACACCCAAAGAAGAACUCGAAUGGCUACCCUUACAACAACACCCUGUCUUUUCGGCUCCCGACAGGGAUGCCGCCUCCCAUUCCUCUACCUUCACAAUGCCUAAAAAUCUUUUGGCUUGGGACGGAGCUUCUCGUCUCUACUUUUGGGACUCUCACAAAAGCUGUGUGCAUAGACUCUCUGUUCGAUUGGGCGAACCGGACCCUACUUCCGUUCUUGCAGCUUCUCCCUCUAAGGUACUGCAAGCGGAUGCGCAAUUGAAUUUUGAGGUCCAGCGAAUUUCCAUUAACAGAAAUGGAUCAACGCUUUUCCUAGUUGGCUUGGAUGGUUUAUACGUCAUGUAUCUCUAUGGGAGGACUUCGACGAAAGAAAAUACAAUUAUAUGCCGGACAGUUUCAGUUGGUUCGGAGAUCUACUUUGACAGAAACAACUCAAUACGCACGUUGAAGGUUUCUUGGCACCCUUACAGUGACACUCAUCUGGGAAUCCUCUCUUCUGAUUCAGUUUUCAGGGUUUUUGAUCUGUCUUCGGCCCUUGGUCAGCCAGAGCAGGAGUAUUAUCUACAGCCUGUGGAGCCUGGCAGUUCGCACAAUGCUACAUCAAUCUGCCCUGUCGAUUUUUCUUUUGGGGGUGAUCAUAUGUGGGAUAGGUUCAGUGUUUUCCUCUUGUUUAGUGAUGGCUCAAUUUACAUCCUAUGUCCUGUUGUUCCAUUUGGAAGUGUGUACACAUGGGAAUCUGUACUGGAGUUAUAUAGUGAUGCUCAUAUGUUUGGUCUGAAAUCAUCGAAUUCAAAAGCUGUGAAAAACUCAAAUUUGGCAAUCUCUUGGUUGGAAGCAACAUUUUCUGAACUAACUCGGAAAGAAGUUCAUUCAGAAAAUGCUGCUGUUCUUAGAGCUCAGGCUUAUGCUUUAUUUGAUGCAUCAAUCUCGUUACAGGGGCCUUUACGUAAAGUAAGUCACGGCGCUGAAGAAGACUUAGUUCAUCCUCCAGUUUGUGAAGGGCGUGCUGUCAGUUUUCUUUAUGAUUUAGUUAGCAAAGAUUCUAUCCUAGUAACUGCUUGGAGUGGCGGGCAGUUGCGGAUAGAUGCUUUAGCUGAUGAAGUACAGCCUGUCUGGAAGGUUGGUAGCCCACCUCGGUUUUGUCUGGAUUCAACUGAUAGUAUAGUUGGCCUUGCAAUGAUUUGCGAGUCAUUGUCAAGUGACACCUCCAUUUUGAAGCUUGAUCUGCCACCUGAUCAUACCUUAUGGUUGGGGCAUCCACCUCCUCUUUUGAGAUUGGCUAUUGUCGAUUUAGCUCUGCCCAGAAGAAGCGGUUCUGUUAUAUCAAUGUUUGUUGAUCCCAUUAUUUCCGAAAGAAUAUAUUGCCUUCAUGAUGGAGGAAUUGAUUCAGUAGUGUUGCACUUUUUGCCUUUCACCAAUCAGACUCGUGGCAAAGAAGACACGAUGAGAAGUCCCUCUGUGCAUCCCGUUCUUAGCACUUUCCAAGGAGAAGCAUCCUCGCCCUCCCCACUUUCUGGUUUCUUGGCUCUGUCAGAUUCUUUUGGAGAUUCAUGGAUUGUGGGUCUUACCCCUUCUAAUGAGUGCAUUGUGGUUGAGAUGGAGACUUGGAAUCCACUGCUUCCCCCAGUUAUCGAUAAGGUUGACAAACUCAUAGGUGCAGAAGUGCCAAAAGAUCCAGAUAUUUCUACUAUCAUAAGCAAAGAGCUCCUUACUGGGCCCAGGGUAGUUCUUUUGCCCCCUUCAUCGCCUCAUUUACGCUCAGUUGCUGCUGAUUCAAUUGAAGGCCGUUCAACGCUUCAUCAGUAUUUCAAGCUUUUUCAUGAAAACUAUGUGGAAUAUGCCCACAAGGUGUACUUUGAACUUCAGCAUCAUGCACCUCAUGUAAAGAAGAUCGUCGAUGACCAGCAUUCUCGACUGCGCAAAGCACAGCAGAAGAUUUUGGAAGUUGAAAGUAAACAGGAAAAGAUAGAGGAUCGUGUUGAGCAUGCAGUUCAGUUUCACAGUGAGCUAGAAGAGCGCUUGCAAAGCCUGCGACACCUUCCGGCGGCACAUAAGAGAUCUCUAUCAAAAGCUGAACGAGAGUUCAAGUCUGAACUUGACAGAUUUAGGGGAGUGGAGUUGGAUGCUCUGCGCUCUUCUAUUGAAGCAGUAAAUGCCAGGUUGAAAAGAUACACGCAUUCUCCACAGGCCAAUCGAUCGAAUGAACAUCGACAACUAUCAGUGAGGAGAAAAAGCCAUGUUCAAGAAAAUGAAAUGUCACUGCUUAAAGCAUCACUUGAAAAGCUCUCACUGGUGAACAGUGAAAAUGCAAAGAAGGUUAAAGUAGUUGAAUCGGCACUGAAAUGCCGCGAAAAAGGCACUUCAUGAUAUCACACCGGUUAUUGCCCUUAACUACAUAUUUAGGAUAGCAUGUUGAGUUUUGCUUCUGGUGCACAAGUCAAAAGUUGUUGGUGAUGUACCGCAAAAUCAGUUUUUUUAAGCAGCUUGAUUGCCUUUCCCAUUUUCUAACUGGAAGAACUGACUGAAUAGGUGGUAUGCUUCUUUCAAUUCCCAAUAGUUGAGUUUCCAUGCUUCAGGCAUUCAGGCGAAAGAAUGUCGGGACUAAUUUUCAAGGUGCACCUGUUCCAGGAGUGGCUAAAGAGUCCAUUUGAUGCAGUUGUAGGUUGUGCAAAUGUUGGACUCACUAAUCAACGUAACAUUAAUUUCUCCCAGGUGCCCAUGCUUUGUUUUACAUGCCUAUUCUGUUUUCUUAUCCUUCCCUUGAUUCUUUUCUGAGGUGCGGGUGGUAGGGUGAGUUUGGAAUUGAGGAUGCCUUUCGAUGUGUAUUAAAAAAGAAGAAAACAAGAAACUACCUGUACAGCAAUAUGCAUGUUUCAGCAAGGAAAUAGGGAUUCUCUGACUUACUUGACUUU